rnacentral:rRNA from 1 species
UACGGGGGGGAGCAAGCGUUGUUCGGAUUUACUGGGCGUAAAGGGCGCGUAGGCGGUCGUGACAAGUCACUUGUGAAAUCUCCGGGCUUAACUCGGAACGGUCAAGUGAUACUGUCGGACUAGAGUACAGAAGGGGCAACUGGAAUUCUCGGUGUAGCGGUGAAAUGCGCAGAUAUCAGGAGGAACACCGAUGGCGAAGGCAGAUCUCUGGGCCGAUACUGACGUGAGGAGCGAAAGCGUGGGGAGCGAACAGG